AAAUCAGGUGAUGAAAGAAAUACUGCAACAAUAUGAUUGGAAAUUAGUUUUCCAUGAUUAAUAGUAUUUAAGUCUCUGAUGAUU
rnacentral:snoRNA from 1 species